rnacentral:rRNA from 1 species
GACGAACGCUGGCGGCGUGCUUAACACAUGCAAGUCGAACGGAAAGGCCUCUUUCGGGGGGUACUCGAGUGGCGAACGGGUGAGUAACACGUGAGUAACCUGCCCUUGACUUUGGGAUAACUUCAGGAAACUGGGGCUAAUACCGGAUAGGAGCUCCUGCUGCAUGGUGGGGGUUGGAAAGUUUCGGCGGUUGGGGAUGGACUCGCGGCUUAUCAGCUUGGUGGUGGGGGAGUGGCUUACCAAGGCUUUGACGGGUAGCCGGCCUGAGAGGGUGACCGGCCACAUUGGGACUGAGAUACGGCCCAGACUCCUACUGGAGGCAGCAGUGGGGAAUAUUGCACAAUGGGUGGAAGCCUGAUGCAGCAACGCCGUGUGCGGGAUGACGGCCUUCGGGUUGUAAACCGCUUUCGCUCAUGACGAAGCUUUGUGUGACGGUAGUGGGUAAAGAAGCACCGGCUAACUACGUG